UAUCAUUCUCUUCUUUCGUCAGUUACCCAGAUGCACGAACUUCAUCUGCCGCUUCACUCUCACUUGCUUUCUCUCUCCCCCCUUCACUCGAAAAUUUCAAAUCUUCAAUUCUCGGAUCAGUUAAUUCAUAACAUUCAAUUGUUUUCCAUCAAUUUUGUGGUUUUUUUGGAUUUGAUUCUGUUUUUGCGAUCCCGAUUUGACAAUCUAAGGAUUUUAAUUGCUAUUUAGUUUUCGUUUUUAGGGUUUAGGGUUUGCCAUCCCGAUUUGAUUCUGUUUUUGCGAUCCCGAUUACGAGGUUUUGAUUUUGAUUAGGUUUUAGAAAUCUUAUUUGGAUUCCUAAUAGGUUUUAUAAAUCUGAUUUUUAUUCCUAAUAGGUUUUUGAAAUAUGAUUUGGGGUCCUUAUAAGUUUUGCUUUUGUCCGUUUUCUAAUGCAUUAGCUUCAAAUCAAACAAUCGGAAGGUGAGUUUGGGUUUUCCGGAGAUGUGUUCUACGGUGGAGGUGGUGCAGGGACCGGCGGAGGGAGGGCGGGGAUGGCGAGUUUCCGACAACAACAACAACAAUAACAGCAGCAACAAUCGCGACAGAGAGGAUUUUUCGGGAUUUAUACAGAUUUAUGUGUCAAAAAGUCAAAAACCACCAAAAAAAAAGAGGGGACCUGGUUGGUGAUGAUUUGAGAUCAUUGCUCAUUCAAUUUUGUGUUUUAUCUGUGCCUUAUCAAGAUUUUGGCAAAUCGCCAGUCAGUUGCUGAUACGUAUACCGUCUACAGACAAACAUAAGUGAUCGUUUAAGAUGAUCAUUUAUUAAUGGAGGUUCAGUAAAUGAUCAUCUUAAAGGGUAUAAGGGUUAUAGCUUUGUGGAAAAUCCCUUCAAAAUUAUUACUCAUUAUCAGGUAGAACGAUAGACAUUGGAGACGUUGGAGUUUGAUACUUUAAUUGCUAAUGGUGUUCAUCAAAUUGGGCUUUAGAGUUGAACAUUGAAGUACAUUAAGGAGGAAAUUUGAUUGUCACACAUUUGUUUAUUUGUAUUAUGUGAUAUUAUUUACAAAUUAAAAUUUAAUUUAAAUUGUCGCACAUUUGUUUAUUUGUUGUAUGCUUCAAACUUAUCGGAAUGUGAUAGUAACGCAGAAUAUAAUAGUAUUUGUAUUGUGGCAAA